CCUUGAUAAAGUAUGGAACGUUUUCAGGAUAUUCAGGUUUCACUAAAGCUAAUUUUAGUUGAUGUGUCAAUGAAGAACAAAAGCUGGAAUGUGAAUAGAAGAAGGGGUCGUACGGGGUCUGUAAAAAUACUCAAGUGGUGCUCGCUGCAUAUCAGAUCAAGCAUUGGAAUAAGAUUUUUAUCGGGGGAGAACAACCAACAGAAAGACCCAUUCACCAACUACAUGGCACACUGAAAGGGGAGAUUCAUGUCACCUUCACCAGUCCUUUCUUUAAUUGCUGGAAACUGUUAAGGGAAAGACCCUCAGACAUAAUAGGAUAAAUGUGGCUGCAGGUAAAAUUAUUUGAUGGUGUUAAGGUUUAUCAUUAUCUAACAAACCAAAUGCUUUGUUCAAUAACAAGAAAUCACGUUAGGGCCAUUUUCUGGAAGAGAAAUCCACUUGGACAGUUUGACAAGGAUCAAGAGGCCAAGGACCAGGUGGUGAAGUCGGAACCAGACCAGACAGCUCUCGCACAGCCAGCCUCUGAACCUGCUCUACAGUUUGAAUCGCCCGGGUGAAGUUAAACUCUACUUUGCUGGUGACCCAGAUGGCUGAGAACAUGAUAGGCUGAAACCCUGGAAGCUAAGAGGGAAGCGGCAAAGGAGUUCGAAGAAGAGCUGAAAAGCACAUCUUAAUGAACACAAGGACAAGGCCUGGUGAAAGCCACUACAGAGGAUCAUAGCCAUCGUUGAAGUUCUGAAAGGACGUGGGUGAAUAUCAAUCUGCCAAAUGAACUUUUUUUAGCAUGCACAUUCACAUCUUUAUAUUAAUACUGAUUAUAUAUGAACUUGUUUGUUUGUUACUGGAAAGAACUUAGCUUCUAUUGUGUUUGACAGAAGGAGUUUUAAGCCUAUGUGCAUUUUCUAGAUGUUAAGCAUGAACAGUACUUAAACAACCAUUACCCGUACCAGCUCUGUCCGUGCUCCAUUUUCCAUUGCAGAUCAUACUCAGAGAUAGUACCCCUUAAAUGCAGCUGGUCGUCAUAGCAAGGCCACACACAACUGCCGCGGCGUAAUGUUCAAUGCGAGACACACACCAGCGCCCAAAUUUAAUUUAAAACGUUUCAGCAUUACUCGGAUUGUACUUAAUUUAACUAAAACAAAUAUCAUAAACAUGUCUAAUUAAUACUUUAUCAACACGUCAUACUCCUGGAAAAGACCCACAUAAAUCACAUAUUUUAAAGGAAUAGUCUAAUCAUUUUCAAUAUUAUUUCAUAUUUUCAUAUUUCAACAUAUAUCAAUAAUAUGUUAUUACCUUAACUAAGAAUUGUUGAUACAUCCCUUUAUCAUCUGUGUGCGUGCACGUAAGCGCUGGAGCGCGCUGCGACGCUUCGAUAGCAUUUAGCUUUGAGUUCACUCAAAAACUCAAAAGUCGAUUUAAAAUUGCAGUUUAAAAAAACUUGCAUGCAUUGAAGACCCGUCACCCCUAGGAACAACAUGAAACGAUUGAAUAUAUCUUCAUAUGAUAUAUCAGGACACUUCUUAAUUUCAUCCUCACACUGGCUCAUACAUGGCUGGUGUAGUAAAUAUUUACCAUAACCGUUUUAAUCAUGUUUUAUGCGUGCUCCCAACACACUGUUUUCUACUGGCUGGCCAUUAAAACUGAGCUCCCGCACAAAGAAGGGAAAUACGUCACAUCUCUUACUCCCGCGUUUGAAAAUAAUGUGGAUAACAACAUUAUUCUGUUUGAGGUGUAACAAGCUGUGUUCCCACAUGUUUAAAGGCUCUCUAAGCGAAUCUGCGAGACGUUAGUUAUUGUUGACGUUUGAAACUGUUUUCAAACAGACGGAGCGUAGCUAACUCCUCCCCCUCCCUUCCGUGCUUUCAUGAACGCGCCCAACCCCCACCCCCAAAUCCUUUGUCGUUUAUUGGCUGGAAUACUUUGUUUUGUUUUGUGAUGCUAGGUUUGGCCACUUGUUGAUAUUGCCGUUUGUGAAGUCUAGGCUGUCUACAGAGAUCGCGUUUUUUUACAGUUUGAUCAACGGACAGGCAGCAAGCAGAUAGUGAGGAGAUGUUUCCGGUAUGUAACAAAAAAUGAUUAAUGGUCUAAAACGCUUCAAUUCCCUUAGAGCGCCUUUGUUUUGCUGCUUAUGACCGUAAUCAUCAUGGAAAACGUUGGUUUACUGAUACUACACGCCAGAAGUCGCACCCAUAAUUCGCGCAAAUCGUCAUGGGGUGUAGGAAUAGUGUGCAUAGGGCCCAAAAUUAUUAACAAUAGGGUAACAUUCUUCAUAGAGCCAUAGCUUAUUUAUUUUGCUUUUAAAGUGCACCAAAUGAAUGCACUUAACAUUAAAAUGAACACUUUUCUUUUGAGUGGAAAUGUACAUCUCAAAUGGGGAUCUGCAGUGAAUGGAAAGGACAUUGCUGUAAAAUAUCAGAAGUAUGUAUGUAUGUAUGUAUGUAUUUAGUGAAAAAGUUGUUGAUGCAAAUGCACUUAACAUAGACCUUCUGUUUGUUUUUUGUACAUUUAAAACACAAUAUACUAAUACAGAAUGUGUGGACAUAAACUGGAAUGUUGGUUGCAAUUACUGUCAAAUAAUGUUUAUAUUAAGUAAAUCCCAUGUACUAUUAAGAAAAGUCUGUAGAUAUAUUGGAGUUGCUUGUUAUUACUGUCAAAUUAUAUUCAUAUAAGGUUAGUCCCAUGCACUUAUAAGAAAGGUCUGUAUAUAUCGGAGUUGCUUAUAACAGUGGUUCUCAAACUGGGGUCCGGGGCCCCCAGGGGGGCCGCGAGAUGGUGCCAGGGGGGCCCCAGUUUUAUGACAUUUUAUAAAAUACAUUAAAUUCUAAUGAAUUCUGGGAAAUUAAACCAAAAAAAGGUAGCACUACUUUGUAUAAUUUAAUGUUUUGUUUAAUUAAAAUGUGAAGUUUUAGAACAGUUUUUUGUCAUAAAUUUUCUUUGGGGGGGGGCGCGAAGGAAUGCACCGUACACAAAGGGGGGCCGCACGCUGAAAAAGUUUGAGAACCACUGGCUUAUAAAGUAAACCCCAUGAUGUAAUGGAAAAAGUAUAUGUGUGUAUAUA